rnacentral:rRNA from 1 species
UACGUAGGGGGCAAGCGUUAUCCGGAUUCACUAGGUGUAAAGGGAGCGUAGACGGCCAUGCAAGCCUGGAGUGAAAGCCCGGGGCCCAACCCCGGGACUGCUCUGGGAACUGUGCGGCUGGAGUGCGGGAGGGGCAGGCGGAAUUCCUGGUGUAGCGGUGAAAUGCGUAGAUAUUAGGAGGAACACCGGCGGCGAAGGCGGCCUGCUGGACCGCGACUGACGUUGAGGCUCGAAAGCGUGGGGAGCAAACAGG